rnacentral:rRNA from 1 species
UACGAAGGGGGCUAGCGUUGUUCGGAAUUACUGGGCGUAAAGGGCGCGUAGGCGGUACUUCAAGUCAGGCGUGAAAUCCCCGGGCUCAACCUGGGAACUGCAUUCGAUACUGGGGGAACUAGAGGCCGAGAGAGGAAAGCGGAAUGACGAGUGUAGAGGUGAAAAUUCGUAGAUAUUCGUCGGAACACCAGAGGCGAAGGCGCUUUCUGGCUCGGACCUGACGCUCAGGCGCGAAAGCAUGGGGAGCGAACAGG